rnacentral:lncRNA from 10 species
GGUGAGUGCCAGCAGGAAAAGGCUGAGCGGUCUGGUGGGAACCUAUUUGGGGCAGGGGGAGGGGCGGAGGAGCGAGACCCAAUCUAGCUCCGGAGCCCUUGGAGAAAGUUUGCGCAACACGUCUCUGUCCAGCCAUCCAGGCAGGCAGGCAGGCCAGAAUAAUGCUUCCCCAGGAGAGAGCCGAGGCAAGCUGAAGUCAGUGCACCUAGCGGUGUGGGCUCCCGGCACCACUCUCCCCACUGGGUAGCUGGUGACUAAUGGAUGAGCCUCUCCAGUUCUGUUCUGUUCCCACCCAAAGUCCGCUAAUAGGACCGUAAUUAAGAUGAAAUGAAGAGGUCGAAGACUGCAUGCUAGGUUUCUGCAGCAACAUCCAGAAAGUUGAGGGCGCCACACUCUCCAAGGGGUCUGCGGAAGCGGGAGUUUGGGGCUGCGAUUUUCAGGGCACUAUGGAUGCUCAGAUGCAAGCUGCAAGAAACCUAACACGCCCCUUGCAAAAGCUGCAGAGGGCAGAUAGGAAACCAGCUACAGGAUGAUGGGUUGACCAAUUGACUCUGAAAAAACUGUCAAGGAAUUUCACCCCCACAGACUCUCCCUGACAUUAACCAAGAUGUCUCCUCCUCAAGCUGCCUCUUGCAGGGUUCUGCAGACCUCACCCUUCUCGUGGCCAGACACCCUGUGAUGAAUUUUGGCCUGGGAUCCGUUAUUAUGUGAGAGACUUACAAUGAUUUUAAUCAUGAAUGGAAUUGGUGGUGAAGUGUCACAAAGUCUGAAAUUUACCUGUGAACGUUUCAGCAAAA